rnacentral:Y_RNA from 1 species
GGUUGGUCCGAGUGCAGUGGUGUUUACACGAAUUAAUCACAACCAGUUACAGAUGUCUUUGUUCCUUCUCCACUCCCACUGCUCCACUUGACCAGCCUUAA